UGAAUUAGUUAUGGCUUGUCAAAUUGAAUCUGUGGCCAGCCCUGUGGAUAACAAGGGAGAAGAAAGCUGCUGACGAGCCUGAUUGCAAACUGAGAGGCUUUGCCCAGUUAGAAGACUGGAGCUCAGUAAUCCAGAGAGAUGAUGGAAGGGAAGAGGAAGAGGAGCAUCAAAUGGAGAGGACAGGCCAUGGCUGGGCAGAAAGAUUAGAGGUGAAGUGAUCCUGAGUUGCGUGUUACAGCUCAGCUCUUUACUUUUUUUCUGCAAAUCCCUGUGGACCACAAGACAAAGCCAAGGAUAUCAGGCAUGAAGUUGAUCAUGAGUUCUUAAUUCAGGAACAAUAAUUAGCCAACUCACAAAAAUCACAGUGGAGCUAGACUUGUCAUCUCUCUGAUUUCCAUCUAUGGAUAUCUUGGAUGUCUUAGAUACGGUAAAAAAACAUGCGUAGUGUUUCCAUGCUCUGCUUCUAUUUCAUCUAGGUCCUUAUCAAAGAAGCGCACAGUUUGCCAUGUGUUCCCAUACCUGUUCUCUGCAGCCUAGCCCUAAAUUUACAGUAAUUUUUUCAUUUUUUUAAACCCUGAAGUGCCUUAAUCAUUUUGCAGCACACUAAGGAAAUUCAAUCCCUCCCCACCAAAGGCUGGAAGAGUAAGACUCACUGGCCCUUUUUGUAUGCAGUUACACUUUGUUUUUUGCCUCAUAAACUGACUCUUGCUCAAGG
rnacentral:lncRNA from 1 species